CCUGUCCCUAGAAGCAUUUCAGGUGUAGCUUCUAUGUCACAUGGGCAUCAGUAGGUGGCAGAGAGGACAGGGGCCAUGUCUAUCCUCUGACCUAUGAACAUCUGUAUGAUUAGUAGCCUAACAUU
ensembl:snoRNA LOC120094926 small nucleolar RNA SNORA17